rnacentral:tRNA from 1 species
GGGCGUAUGGUGUAGUGGUAUCACGCCUGAUUUGCAAGCAUCUUGCUUGGAAAAGUUUCAGGCGGUCCAGAGUUCGAUCCUCUGUGCGUCCA